rnacentral:rRNA from 1 species
UGCCAGACUCCUACGGGAGGCAGCAGUAAGGGAUAUUGGUCAAUGGGGGAAACUCUGAACCAGCAACGCCGCGUGAGGGAAGACGGUUUUCGGAUUGUAAACCUCUGUCCUCUGUGAAGAUGAUGACGGUAGCAGAGGAGGAAGCUCCGGCUAACUACGUGCCAGCAGCCGCGGUAAUACGUAGGGAGCAAGCGUUGUCCGGAAUUACUGGGUGUAAAGGGAGCGUAGGCGGGGAUGCAAGUUGGGUGUCAAAACUACCGGCUCAACCGAUAGUCGCACUCAAAACUGCAACUCUUGAGUGAAGUAGAGGCAGGCGGAAUUCCUAGUGUAGCGGUGAAAUGCGUAGAUAUUAGGAGGAACACCAGUGGCGAAGGCGGCCUGCUGGGCUUUUACUGACGCUGAGGCUCGAAAGUGUGGGGAGCAAACAGGAUUAGAUACCCCGGUAU